ensembl:lncRNA
GCAGGUGUAGUCAGCUCUUAGGAAGUUUUACUGUGAAGAGAAAAACCUGAGAACUAUCAGGAUGGUCAAAGAAUAUUAAAGUAAGCAAGAGAUGAAGUUAUGGGGAUCUGGAGUCUUCUCCAUUCUUGUACCAUGUUACAUCAUGGUCAUAGUGAUAAUGACUCUUGAGUUCUGGCCUUUUCAAGUGGGCAAUGGGGCCUCAGUCUCCCUGGCAACCAGCACCUAAUAAAUGUGCUUUUGUGUCUCCCUGCCGGGAUCCAAUGGAGAAGGCAAGAGUACUGGAGUGGGGUGCCAUUGGAUUUCCCUAUUUGGAUAUGAUUUUUGUAGUCUGCCUUACUCUGCCUUGCAUGUGGAGGGGAGAUGGGCUUCUUGGGCUGUUAUAGUCCUGCUUUGUCAGUAGGGGGCAGCAACCACCAGGAAGCCGGCAAAGUGAGCUCUUGGGUCUCCAGCUCUGUCAGCAUUACUGGGUUAGUCCUGCAGCUUUACAGCGUUUGCCUCCUGGGCACUGGGCAGCAGGGACUGGGAGCAGUGGGGUGUGGGCUGGGGUCCAUACCCACGAGUUGAACCCUAGCUGUCCCCACAUGGGCCUCUUGCCUUCUGGCUUGUCUUGGAAUCAGCAACUGGGUGAAAGCUGGGUCAAGUCUGCUAUGGGGCAUGUCGUUUGAGACCACAUGUUCUGUGCCUGUUGAAAUACUAGUGUUUCACCUCAGAGCUCACUUCUUUUAUUUUACUUUCUAGUGUCCUGUCCCUUUCCCUCCCUUACCCUCUUUCCACAUUACCGUCUUGGGAAAUCCCAUUGACUUCUCCCACCACACUGUGCCAUAGCCUGAACUAAGGGAACAAGGGGACCAUUUCACUGGUUGGCGAAAGUACAUGUGGUUUAUUAAGAAAUAUUUGGGCUUCCCCGGUGGCAUUGGUGGUAAAGAACCCACCUGCCAACGCAGGAGAUGUAAGAAACGGAAGAUACUGGAGUGGGUUGCCAUUUCCUUCUCCAGAGGAUCUUCCCAACCCAGGGAUCAAACCCGGGUCUCCUGCACUGCAGGCAGAUUCUUUACUGACUGAGCUACAAGGGAAGCCCUUCCUUUAGGGGGCUGUAGAAGUUCACCAUGCAGAUUAUGUCACUAGUGAUGACCAGAUAAUUCCUGGUUGACUGGUUUAAAAUUCCAUUCCUGGGAGAGGUUGAAACUAUAAUUACCUUAAGCAUUAAGUCUAUGAGGCUUAGGAUAAGUGACUACAUUUUGGGGCUGUUUUCUUGCUAUCCACAGGGUGAAUUCAAGACAUAGGCAGAGCCCAUGGAAGACAUAGAGGAGAGAGGCUGCCAUCCCAGGAAAUUAUUGAAUUCUUUCUUGGAAGUAGC